GACGAACGCUGGCGGCGUGCUUAACACAUGCAAGUCGAACGGAAAGGCCCUGCUUUUGUGGGGUGCUCGAGUGGCGAACGGGUGAGUAACACGUGUGUAAACUGCCCUUGACUUUGGGAUAACUUCAGGAAACUGGGGCGAAUACCGGAUAGGAGCUCCUGCUGCAUGGUGGUGGUUGGAAAAUUUCGGCGGUUGGGGCUGGACUUGCGGGUUAUCAGCUGGUUGGUCGGGUAGGGGCUUACCAAGGCUUUGAAGGGUAGGCGGCAUGAGAGGGUGACCGGCGACAUUGGGCCUGAGGUAGGGCCCAGACGCCUACGGGCGGCAGUAGUGGGGAAUAUUGCACAAUGGGCGGAAGCCUGAUGCAGCAACGCCGCGUGCGGGAUGACGGCCUUCGGGUUGUAAACCGCUUUCGCCUGUGACGAAGCGUGAGUGACGGUAAUGGGUAAAGAAGCACCGGCUAACUACGUG
rnacentral:rRNA from 1 species